UACGAAGGGGGGCGAGCGUUGUUCGGAAUUACUGGGCGUAAAGGGCGCGUAGGCGGCGACUCAAGUUAGAUGUGAAAGUCCUGGGCUUAACCUGGGGGACUGCAUUUGAUACUGGGUUGCUUGAAUCCGGGAGAGGGAUGCGGAAUUCCAGGUGUAGCGGUGAAAUGCGUAGAUAUCUGGAGGAACACCGGUGGCGAAGGCGGCAUCCUGGACCGGCAUUGACGCUGAGGAGCGAAAGCCAGGGGAGCAAAGCGGG
rnacentral:rRNA from 1 species